UGUAAUAACUCUCUGAGCUUAGUGGUGGGCAUUACUUUGUCCCUUUACAGAUAAUACAACUGAAGGACUCAAAGCCUAUAAAUAAAUGGCAGAACCAGAAUUCAAAGGAGAAUGGACUACCUCUUGGCCUGUGUACCUUUGACAGCCUCAUGGUGCCUACUGAGAAAUGUGCCCUGAAUCACAAAUAUAAGACAGGACAUUUUGGAGGCUAUGUGUCUGUCUCCAUUUUUAUCUUUUCAAACAGAGAGAAGGCUAAGAUUAAAUCAUUCAUCAAAUAAUGUUAAUAUUUCCAAUUCUCCCAAAGCAAAUUCUACCUGGAAUUCAUUCUUUAAGGAGGACAGAGAAAUGAAAUAGCUGUGUGGAUUUUUCAUUUACUUCAUGGAUUUGGAGUCCCAGGAAUGCAGAAGCUGGAAAGAAGAGGGCGCUUGAAAGGUCUGUUCUGAUGAAGUCCUAGACCUCACUAGCAACUGGGGCUGAGUUGGAUGCACAUCACUGUCUAAUGGUCUAAAAACUAGGCCUCGCCUGUGCACAAGUGAGCAAUGUAGAAACAAAAUUGUAAGGUCAUCUUUUAAAAUUCAGCUUUGAUUGAAAAGAUGUAAUAAAGAUUUGAAUGUUGGCU